rnacentral:misc_RNA from 1 species
UGAGAUGGAAGAAUGGACC